GAUGAAAAUGUAGUUAAUUGUUUGUUUUAAAGGCUUUCUUAGCAAGAGUAAGGGUAAUAUUUUUUCUUUCUUUUACCUGGAGCGAACGCGUCUAAGCUCGCGAGUCCCAUCUGGUAAAGCUCCGAUUGUGAUGUAAACACCGGCUUGUCUUCUUCUACCUAUUCUGUGUUGAUGUCACUUGCAUUACUUACUGAGACCUCAUCUGAAUGAUCUGCAUUUUCUUCUUCUUCUUCUUCUCUUGAUGACGCACUACUCAUUGCAGACUCAUUUUGUCUCUGGAUUGUUGUUGCUUGCUUUCACUGAAGAACGCAGGAACGUAGAAAAAAAACAGAGCGCAGCAAUCUUGAUGACUAUUUGAAACCAAGUUUUCAGGGUUAUUAAAAUGACUUAUGACUUACGACUUAUCUCAAUCACCACAGACAACUAACACCAAAACAUGGCUACAUCAAAAACAAAAAAAUAUCACCAAAAAUACAACCGCCCCGCCCGUAGGGCGGGCAUGCCACUAGUAAACUCAUAUUACUGAUUAAACCUUUGUUGUUUCAUUAAUAAUUAAGAUUGAAUAAUUUUCUUGCGUUUACUUUUUCUAAUCAAUAAUCUAUUUAUAAUAGCAAACCAUUUUUUUGUGAUCAAUGACAUCAUCAUUUUUUUUACAGGAAAAUAAAAAUUUAAUCUAGCGGUCAGGUUUGCUGUUAUUUUUGAUCUAAGGGAUGAAAAGUUCUCUUCCUUUGAGUCGCUUACGUCAUCAAAAAAUUGUUGUGUCAUUCAAUUUCCCCAAUCGUCUCCUCUUCAAAAACAACACAACCCUUAGUAUAUGGCAUCUUUGCUGAAUGGUUUCAUUCACAAUCAAUCAACACAACCCUUCAAUCACACCUCUCUGAACCAUAUUGCGACAUCCGUCACCUCCUAUCUGGAGGACAGCAAGUCACCCCUGACGCGUCAUCAUACAACAAAGUGACACUCGUCUCCUUCUCACUAAGGACGACGGGUCACCAACAAUAUCCUGUAAUAUAAAAGUCCAUAGACCGAAUUACACUCACCCAAAACCCAAAUAAAAAUCCGUAGGAAAAGUCCAGUAGCACCAAGUCCGUCCAAAUAUCACAUACUUAUUUGUCUCACCUGAAAAGGGAAAGAGUGAGGGGUGAGCGACAGGGGAAUCGCUCAGUGAGGUAAGGGAUGCUACCCCGUAGUCCAUGGACCCGGACAUAACACUCCGAAUAAAUAUAAUUUAAUUCCAAUACAUGUCAAACACGGUACCUAAAGUCCACAAGCAACAAACAAUGGUCUUAGCAAGGUGCACACUAGCUGCCACUAACAGGCCAAUCAACACUUCCGAGAGAGUGCUCGGUGUCACCGCCCUCAGACGCUUUAUCGACCACACCAGACUACGGUAUACAAAAGUCCGUCUCUGUAUCCGGCAAAAACAAUUCUAACUAAGAAUUUACAUUAAGCGAAGCAGUCAAUGUUGAAUCCUCUAACUCUCUAGUUCUGGUUUAAGCAAUGAAUCUAGAACUAAAACAAACAAUGAAAGACUCGAUUUCAAGCAGACGGAACAUAUUAGAAAUAAGUUAUACUUAUUCGAGGUCCUAAGCCAUGUACGAGAAGUUCGGGAAUAGACCCUCACCUUAGCAACUAGGAGAAGUGAUGUCUAUGAACUCCAGCUGCUCAAAUAGACUCCAUAUCUGAAAUCAGAUCGAAAUUCUGAGUUAGAACGCCUAUUCGAACGGUCAAAAACGGAACUGGUCAAGGUUUGCGGAAAAGUCAACCCGCUGGUCAAAGUCAACCCGGUCAAGCUUUGACCAGAAAUCGAUUUGACUAAACUGACCGGCUUACCCUAACCAAACCGAUAUCAAUUUAAACCGGUCAAACCAGUCAACCAACCGGUUUACCGAGUCAACCGAGUUGACUCGCUGAGUUGACUCGGCCGAGUUGACCGAGCCACCGACGAGUCACCGGUGUCGGUCACUGGCGGCGACGGUGAAGGGCGGCGGCGGCAUCUUACCGGGAAGUUCGCCGGCGGCAACAGCGGAGGCGAUUUCCGGCGGCGGCAGAGUUGCGGCAGAGGACGACGGCAGAGGCGAUUUCGAGCGGCGGCGCGUGGACGAAACGCGCGCAGUCGGCGUAACUUCUGGAAGCACGUACGGCUUCGUCUGAGCUCCGAUUGCGGCGUGGUCGGUGUCUACGGUUUCGUCACGACGAGAGGAACACGAUGAUAGGUUUGCAUAAACGAGAUUCACAACAGUUAGAGAGGUAUCGAUGAAUUACUAAACGGACGAAACUAAGCUUAACUGUACGGCAGUUUCCGGCGAUUCUAAGCUGCAGCGAACGGUUGUGACGAGCUCAACGUGGACUCUGCGUGUGGUAGCUCCGGCGACGAUCUCAGGUGGUUCCACUCCAAUGGUUCACACUCUUUCUUCUUUUUCUUCUCUCUCUCUCUAUCUCUCUUAACUUCUGAUUUUUGGAACAAAAAUAACUAAUGAGCUGAUAUUUAUAGAGAAACUUUUGGACUUUAGAUAUGUGCAACGAUCUUAGCAUGCUAACAAAUUAUGUAACCAAAACUGGGUCGUUACAAUUAUCCCCUACUACAAAGAAUUCGUCCCCGAAUUCGAGUCGUCCGUUAAUUCCCCAACAUUAUUGAAACGAACUUCUGAAUAAUCAAUAUGCUCGGUCUCUCAGGUUUCAUCUUAGUCUCAAAAACUCUGAUAAAACACAGUCGACAUUCUCUAAACUGCUUUCGCUUGAUGAUCCAAAUUCUACGCUAGCUGACAAGGCGAGUACAAUCUUCAUGCGGUGAUUUGACGUCUCCUGCAAAAUAACUCUGGUUUUCCUUCAACUUUUCCCAACGCUGACACAUGAACCACAUUGUGAAAAUCUGAUACACUGCUGAUAAAACAGUUGCAAGCAAUUGCUCCAAUCUGCUCCUUCGAAGGAUACAAUCCCAUGUACCAUGGUUUAAGCUGCUUUAGCUUCUAAGUCUUAGAUCCUCUCUGAAAUUUUCUCAUUUUCAGGUAUACUACAUCGCUCAUAUGAAACUUCAAAUCCUUACAGCGGUUAGCUGCAUAACUCCUCUGGCGGCUAUGGGUUUUCUAAAACCAAUCUUUGAGCAUAUCCAUUUGCUCUACCGUUUCUUGAACCAUUUAUAAUUUUAAGUCAUGUCACUCCCCCACUUUGGUCCAACAAAGUGGUAUACGAUAAAGCCUACCAUAAACAGCCUCGUACGGUCCAUCUCAAUGCUUGAAUGAUAAUUGUCGAUAUAGGCAAAGUCUAUUAGAGGUCGAUGCUUUCCGAAAUUUCAUCCCAUUGGAAGACGCAAUCCCUAAACAUAUCCUUUAAGUUCUGAGUAGUCAUCUCUGACUGAUCAUUUGUAUGCUGAUAAUAAGUGGUAUUCAUGUAGACCCUUGUCCCAAACGCCUUAUGAAUUACUCCAAAAUGUAGAGGUGAACUUUGAAUCCCAAUCCGAUACAAUGCUGACAAGAGCUCCAUGCAACCUCAAAAUCAUGCUGAUAUAAAUCUACGCCAACUGAUCAGCUCUCUCUAUGCCUCCUAAAUUAUUUAGGAAAUGGACAGACUUGGUAAGUCUAUCCAUGACUACCCAUGUGGCAUCCUUUCCACAUCCGGUGAUUUAAAAAAUCCAGUAACGAUAUCCAUAAUAUCCAUGUCUCCUUUCCUUUUCCACUUCAGCAAAAGCAAGCUCAAAAUAACAUGAUCGAUAACUGAUCCUCUGUCAUAACCAUCUGACAUAGACACAAUGUAGCUACAAUCUUUUUCAUAAUAGGUCAAUGAUAGUAACGCUUUAUAUCUUUGAACUCCUUGAUAUUUUCGAUGGGUAGAGUAACACGAGUGAUGUGUUUGCUGUAAGAUCCCUUUUCUUAACAGCUUAUCGUCCAACACCCAAACUCGGUUUCGAUAUAGGUGCAUCCUGCUCAAAGCUGUAUGAUAUCCAAUACUCCCAAUCUCGAUCUAUUCAACCAAAACCAUAACGCUAACAUGCGCAUGACGUAUCCUCCAUAGCAAAACUGCAUGCUCCAAUCCUCAAGGCCAUAUGUCUUUGCUUUGACAGUAACGGCACACAAUCUGAGACUAGCAAGUCUCCUAAUAAGCUCUUAAAUCUUUUUGGUUGCUGAGAUACAGCUCAUUCGC